AAAACCCAAAUUUUUCUUCUUCCUCAUUUUCCUUGACAGUGAAUGUGUCUAGCUAAUGGUAGCAACGUGAAAGACUAGUCACUGUGGGGUCCCAAGGAUGAAAGAACAGAAAGAAAGAAAAAGAAAGAAAGAGAGAAAGAAAGAAAGAA